AANUACGGAGGAAAAGAAACUAAAGGCAUUCCCCUAGUAACGGCGAGUGAAGCGGGAUGAGCUCAAAUUUAAAAUCUGGCGGUCUCAGAUCGUCCGAGUUGUAGUCUAGAGAAGCGUUUUCCGUGCUGGCCUGUGUACAAGUCCGUUGGAACACGGCGUCAUAGAGGGUGAGAAUCCCGUCCUUGACACAGAUCUCCAGUGCUUUGUGAUGCGCUCUCAAAGAGUCGAGUUGUUUGGGAAUGCAGCUCAAAAUGGGUGGUAAAUUCCAUCUAAAGCUAAAUAUUGGCGAGAAACCGAUAGCGAACAAGUACCGUGAGGGAAAGAUGAAAAGCACUUUGGAAAGAGAGUUAAACAGUACGUGAAAUUGUUGAAAGGGAAACGAUUGAAGUCAGUCAUGCUUUCCGAGACUCAGCCGGUUCUGCCGGUGUACUUCUCGGUUUGCAGGCCAGCAUCAGUUUUGGGCGGUGGAAAAGGUUGGCGGGAAUGUGGCAUCCUCGGAUGUGUUAUAGCCCGCUUUCGAAUACAUCGCCCGGGACUGAGGAACGCAGCACGCCUCUUGUAGGUCGGUCUUCGGACACGUCCGUGCUUAGGAUGCUGGCAUAAUGGCUUUAAACGACCCGUCUUG
rnacentral:rRNA from 1 species